rnacentral:rRNA from 1 species
UACAGAGGGGGCAAGCGUUAUUCGGAAUUAUUGGGCGUAAAGGGCGCGUAGGCGGCCUGGCAAGUGGAAGGUGAAAUCCCUCGGCUUAACCGAGGAACUGCCCUCCAAACUGCUUGGCUUGAGUCCGGGAGAGGUGAGUGGAAUUCCCAGUGUAGCGGUGAAAUGCGUAGAUAUUGGAAGGAACACCGGAGGCGAAAGCGGUGUACUGGGGCUGGUCUGACGCUGAGGCACGAAAGCCAGGGGAGCGAACGGG